rnacentral:rRNA from 1 species
AACGAACGCUGGCGGCAGGCUUAACACAUGCAAGUCGAACGCACCGCAAGGUGAGUGGCAGACGGGUGAGUAACGCGUGGGAACGUGCCCUUCAGUUCGGAAUAACCCAGGGAAACUUGGGCUAAUACCGGAUACGUGCGAGAGCAGAAAGAUUUAUCGCUGAAGGAUCGGCCCGCGUCUGAUUAGCUAGUUGGUGGGGUAAUGGCCCACCAAGGCGACGAUCAGUAGCNGGUCUGAGAGGAUGAUCAGCCACAUUGGGACUGAGACACGGCCCAAACUCCUACGGGAGGCAGCAGUAGGGAAUAUUGGUCAAUGGACGCAAGUCUGAACCAGCCAUGCCGCGUGCAGGAAGACGGCCCUCUGGGUUGUAAACUGCUUUUGAUAGGGAACAAAUGCCACUUGCGAGUGGAGCUGAGUGUACCUAUAGAAUAAGCACCGGCUAACUCCGUGCCAGCCGCCGCCGUAAG